UGCUUCUUUUCCGGUGUUUGCUUCUUCGGGUUGGUUCCGAUAACGUCGCGUUUGUGAGGAUCCGUUCAACUACGUUCGUUUGUCUUCUUCAUGGACUCGUUCUUCUUCCUUGCGGGAUUUCAGGCAAGAUGAUCAUACCCUCGAAAUCACUACUAUCUUUGCUAUGCUAGUUUGCUCGCUCUUUUGCCAUGCCAAUGCUACGAUGCCUACCAUUUGCUUGUCAGCCUCCCAAAUUGCCAUGU
rnacentral:rRNA from 1 species